rnacentral:rRNA from 1 species
GACGAACGCUGGCGGCGUGCUUAACACAUGCAAGUCGAACGGAAAGGCCCCUUUGGGGGUACUCGAGUGGCGAACGGGUGAGUAACACGGGAGUAACCUGCCCUUGACUUCGGGAUAACUUCAGGAAACUGGGGCUAAUACCGGAUAGGAAUCCUUGCUGCAUGGCUGGGGUUGGAAAGCUUCGGCGGUUUUGGAUGGACUCGCGGCUUAUCAGCUUGUUGGUGGGGUAGUGGCUUACCAAGGCUUUGACGGGUAGCCGGCCUGAGAGGGUGACCGGCCACACUGGGACUGAGAUACGGCCCAGACUCCUACGGGAGGAAGCAGUGGGGAAUAUUGCACAAUGGGCGGAAGCCUGAUGCAACAACGCCGCGUGCGGGAUGACGGCCUUCGGGUUGUAAACCGCUUUCAGCAGGGGCGAAGCUUGUGUUGACGGUACCUGCAGAAGAAGCACCGGCUAACUACGUG